rnacentral:rRNA from 1 species
GACGAACGCUGGCGGCGUGCCUAAUACAUGCAAGUCGAGCGAAUCGAUGGGAGCUUGCUCCCUGAGAUUAGCGGCGGACGGGUGAGUAACACGUGGGUAACCUGCCUGUAAGACUGGGAUAACUUCGGGAAACCGGAGCUAAUACCGGAUAAUUUCUUUCUCGCAUGAGAAGAGAUGGAAAGAUGGUUUCGACUAUCACUUACAGAUGGACCCGCGGCGCAUUAGCUAGUUGGUGAGGUAACGGCUCACCAAGGCAACGAUGCGUAGCCGACCUGAGAGGUGAUCGGCCACACUGGGACUGAGACACGGCCCAGACACCUACGGGUGGCAG